AUACCGGCGGCUCGAGUGGUGGCCACUUUUAUUGGGCUUAAAGCGUUCGUAGCUGGGUUGUUAAGUCUCUUGGGAAAUCCGGCGGCUUAACCGUCGGGCGUCUAAGAGAUCCUGGCAAUCUAGGAACCGGGAGAGGUGAGGGGUACUUCGGGGGUAGGAGUGAAAUCCUGUAAUCCUCGAGGGACCACCUGUGGCGAAGGAGCCUCACCAGAACGGCUUCGACAGUGAGGGACGAAAGCUGGGGGAGCAAACCGGAUUAGAUACCCGGGUAGUCCCAGCCGUAAACGAGGCGCGUUAGGUGUGUCGAUGACCACGAGUCAUCGAGGUGCCGAAGGGAAACCGUGAAACGCGCCGCCUGGGAAGUACGGUCGCAAGGCUGAA
rnacentral:rRNA from 1 species